GCCUACGAUCAUACUACGUUGAAAGCACCGCAUCCCGUCAGAUCUGUGCAGUUAAACAACGUUCGGCCGCAUCAGUACCUUGGUUGGUGACAACAAGGGAACGUUCGGUGUUGUAGGCA
rnacentral:rRNA from 1 species